rnacentral:rRNA from 1 species
UACGGAGGGUGCAAGCGUUAUCCGGAUUUACUGGGUUUAAAGGGUGUGUAGGCGGGCUUUUAAGUCAGGGGUGAAAUCUCCGGGCUCAACCCGGAAACUGCCAUUGAUACUAUUAGUCUUGAAUUUUGUUGAGGUAGGCGGAAUAAGUCAUGUAGCGGUGAAAUGCUUAGAUAUGACUUAGAACACCAAUUGCGAAGGCAGCUUGCUAAACAAACAUUGACGCUGAGGCACGAAAGCGUGGGGAUCAAACAGG